rnacentral:lncRNA from 1 species
GGCAUCUGCAUUUUGUGCUGAUCCAUUGUGUCUUCAAAAUGAUUUAGGGAAUUUGGGUAUAUGGCCCUGGUGCCAAGUCUCCUGUCACUCUUGGAACCGAGACCAUCAGGAGCUGCUUCCCAAGCUGAGAAUGACCUUCUUGUUCCAGGGUCACUUCCACAAGGGCCAUGGAUUCCAAAAGCUGUGCUGGCCUGGCCUGCCGUGGCUCUGGCGCUCUCCUGUUCCUGGAAGUACUUGGUGAAGGUUGUUUCUGGUCCCUGGUAAAACGCAGAAGAACACUGGUGAUGUCACACUUGGACGUUGUUGUGUUUGUGAGGAUCUGAGAUGUCAUGGUGUUGUCGUGUCAAGUGCUCAGAAUAAAUAAGGAGCAGACCCGCCAUGCGGCCUGCACUGCAGUCACUGAGGUGCCUGGGGGAGGCAUUGGGCAUCUGAGGGCACACACUGAGUGGAGGAACAGGAAAUGAGUUGGAUGUAGUGGCUCGUGUCACUAGGGAAGCUGAGGCAGGAGGAUAUGCUGAGCCACAGAAUGAAACUGUCUCAAAAAGUCAGUCCUGUCAAGAGGGCAGGAAAGGUGACAGUGAUGGACCUCUGUAGCCCUGAUGACAGGUGGCCCCAGGCCAGCCCUCACUACAGAGGUUCAGAGGCCUGACAACACACAUUCUCUAGGCCCUGACAGCCAUCUGUCAACCCAGACCCAGUAACAAAGUAUCCCUAAAUACUUGUGUCUCCAGCCCUCAUGGUGAGUGCCCCCAGCCCUGAUAACAAGCAGCCCAGGCCUGAUGACAGUGUUAGCAGUCCCCAAAAUAGGUGUCUUCCAGCCCAGUGACCCCAUCCCCUGGACAUCUGCCCCAUAUUGAUAAUAAGCUGUUUGUUAUGCAUGCUGAUGUAGUCCCCAGACCAGGCAAUGCUGGUCCACAGGCCUCUCUCAAAAUCGGAAUGUCUCUGGGGGCCUGAGAGAUGGCUGCUCCUCUGGAGGAACCUAAGUCAGUUCCCAGCACCCACAUGGCAGCUCACAACUCCCAGUUCCAGGGGAUGUGACACCCUCAACACAGACAUACAUGCAAG